AGCCCCGCGCUUGUGCGAGAGGUUUUUGCCCAAUCCACACCUCACGCGCCGCAUUGACCUGCUUGCCCAAUCCCCGCGGCGGUUGGCUGGUUGACUCAUCGCGCCAGCACGUCCUCGCCUCCUUAGUGCCAUGAGAGGCGCCGCCUCUGCCUCUGGAAGAAGCGGCAGGGAUUGGUGGAGCAUCGAAAGUGGCCGGGGUCAACGGUUGAGGGAGGAUCACCCACCAGAGCAGUAGGAGAAAGACCUUGAGUGAAGCUGCAUCAUCCAACAUAGCGAGAUGAAGUACUCAGAAAAAAUUGCAGCAAGUGCGAUUGAUACUCAGGGAAUUGAUCUGAUUCUGAAUCUUCCCUUCUUCCGGUACUUAUUUCACACUCUCUCUGAUUGGUCAAUGUGCUAUGCAAAGCUGUUUGAUAUAUGGAUUAAAUUUGCUUUUGUACAUGUCUGGAUCGUACUUAAUGUUAUUCCCUUUUGAAUUAGCAAGAUUUAGACGAUAAUUCACAACAAUGUCAAUGUUAGGUUUGAUUCACCACCAGUGCUCUUUAGAUUACAAAGGGUUUUUAAUUCAGCAUUCAACUCCGCCUUUGUCAGUAUAAAAAAUUCAUAAAGAGACUUGGUCUCUUCUUUAUUAUCUGGGUGCAUUAUGUACUAUGCAUGGCACUAACUGUGAGUAUUUUUGCCAGUCAGUAUGCAUUGGUCUACUUUGGAUCUUUUUUGUCUCACUUUAUACUUGUUCUGCUAUUUGUCGUGUAUGCACAUGAUUUGGAUUGAUCUACUUAGAAGCAUGAGUUUAUGAAAAUUAAUAUCUACUAGGAUUGCUCUGCUCCUGUUGACAUGCGAUGGCAAUUGUGACAUGACAGAGUUGUCUGAAGUGGAAUGGAUUGUCGUCACCUUUGACUAAGCUGUCGAGCCCAAGAACUGUGGCAGACUGGUGGCCCAGCUGUUCAACUUCUCAACACCGUUUAAUUUUGUCUUUGGCUGUCCUUGCGUCCACUCAGCAGAGAAGUAUCUAUACUGAAUUUCUGCUCUAGAUAACUUAUACUCAUAUAAUUUAUCUCUAAUACCCAGUCCAAAACAUUAGUUUCAAAAUGUAACUCUUUGCGGCCCUAAUUCGACAGUACUUUGAGUGCUUCCUAUAGGAACAGGAGUGAGCAAAGACGAAGUCACCUGAGAUGGGAAAAACAGAAGUAUAUGUUAAUAACCAGAUUUUCAACUUUUGUUGACCUUUUAUUUUAAGUAUAUGUUAAUAACCAGAUUUUCAACUUUUGUUGACCUUUUAUUUUAACUGAAUGAUAUGUUCUAGCAUUUGAGCUACUAAUCAUAAAUAUUCAGUCAGCUAUCCGUAAGACGCCACAUGUUCUUAGCUGCUAUAUUUUAUACCUGAAAUUAUUUUCUAAGUCCACAUAACGAAGGCAAAAGUCAUGAAAAUUAUGAAAGCCUUUUUGAAAAAAUGAAAAUCACAGAAAGGAUCUUGGAAAAAAGAAUUACUUGUGAACAAUCAUUUUGACUGAUGAGUUGAUCUCUGCCUAAUGAAUCCACUGAGAUAUUGGAGAGCUUUUCUGCUUCAUGAGAAAGAGCCACAGAUGGCCGACUAAUACCCAUUAUAGCAGGAUUUUGCAUAUGAUGUGCAUACACAAGGUGCCGCUGGGUGAUACGGCAGUUCUCUGAACAUAGAAUACUAGAUUAAAGCACUCACAGUAUUUCUUCAGGCACUCAGAUCUCUUGCAGUGGCACCCCUUUGUAUGCUUACCCACAGGAGGGCCUUCUGCCAGUUUGCAUGAUAAAAAUAGAAGUGAUUGUUUGAAAAUA